ACGAACGCUGGCGGCGUGCUUAACACAUGCAAGUCGAGCGAGGCCCUCUCCUUCGGGAGAGGUGUCCUAGCGGCGAACGGGUGAGUAACACGUGGGCAACCUGCCCUCCGCUCUGGGAUAACCCGGGAAACCGGAGCUAAUACCGGAUACGACCUCGGAAGACAUCUUCUGAGGUGGAAAGAAUUUCGGCGGAGGAUGGGCCCGCGGCCUAUCAGCUUGUUGGUGGGGUAACGCCCACCAAGGCGACGACGGGUAGCCGGCCUGAGAGGGCGACCGGCCACACUGGGACUGAGACACGGCCCAGACUCCUACGGGAGGCAGCAGUGGGGAAUAUUGCGCAAUGGGCGAAAGCCUGACGCAGCGACGCCGCGUGAGGGACGAAGGCCUUCGGGUUGUAAACCUCUUUCAGCAGGGACGAAGCGAAAGUGACGGUACCUGCAGAAGAAGCACCGGCCAACUACGUGCCAGCAGCCGCGGUAAUACGUAGGGUGCAAGCGUUGUCCGGAAUUAUGGGCGUAAAGAGCUCGUAGGCGGUCUGUCGCGUCGGCUGUGAAAACCCGGGGCUCAACCCCGGGCCUGCAGUCGAUACGGGCAGACUAGAGUGCGGUAGGGGAGACUGGAAUUCCUGGUGUAGCGGUGAAAUGCGCAGAUAUCAGGAGGAACACCGGUGGCGAAGGCGGGUCUCUGGGCCGUAACUGACGCUGAGGAGCGAAAGCGUGGGGAGCGAACAGGAUUAGAUACCCUGGUAGUCCACGCCGUAAACGUUGGGCGCUAGGUGUCGGGGACCUUCCACGUCCUCGGUGCCGCAGCUAACGCAUUAAGCGCCCCGCCUGGGGAGUAGCGGCCGCAAGGCUAAAACUCAAAGGAAUUGACGGGGGCCCCGCACAAGCGGCGGAGCAUGUGGCUUAAUUCGACGCAACGCGAAGAACCUUACCUGGGUUUGACAUGCAGGGAAAUCCCAUAGAGAUAUGGGGUCCGCAAGGGUCCUGCACAGGUGGUGCAUGGCUGUCGUCAGCUCGUGUCGUGAGAUGUUGGGUUAAGUCCCGCAACGAGCGCAACCCUCGUCCUAUGUUGCCAGCGGAUAAUGCCGGGGACUCAUAGGAGACUGCCGGGGUCAACUCGGAGGAAGGUGGGGACGACGUCAAGUCAUCAUGCCCCUUAUGUCCAGGGCUGCACACAUGCUACAAAUGGCCGGUACAAAGGGCAGCGAAACCGUAAGGUAGAGCGAAUCCCAAAAAGCCGGUCUCAGUUCGGAUUGGGGUCUGCAACUCGACCCCAUGAAGUCGGAGUCGCUAGUAAUCGCAGAUCAGCAACGCUGCGGUGAAUACGUUCCCGGGCCUUGUACACACCGCCCGUCACGUCACGAAAGUCGGUAACACCCGAAGCCGGUGGCCCAACCCGCAAGGGAGGGAGCCGUCGAAGGUGGGAUCGGCGAUUGGGACG
rnacentral:rRNA from 1 species